UGUAGGGAAGGGAUAAGCGCUGAAAGCAUCUAAGUGCGAAGCCCACCUCAAGAUGAGAUUUCCCAUGAUUUUAUAUCAGUAAGAGCCCUGAGAGAUGAUCAGGUAGAUAGGUUAGGAGUGUAAUUGUGGUGACACAUUUAGCGGACUAAUACUAAUAGCUCGAGGACUUAUCCAAAA
rnacentral:rRNA from 1 species